ACAAAAACGCAUGGGUGGAGCGUGACGCUAUAGGACAGGGAAGUGAACAUCAACCCUAACCCUAGGGCCAAUCCCACCAACAGCAGUGCACGGUCGACGUGAAAAGCUCGUGCAAUGGACCAGGAUGCUCUCUCCCAUGGAGUCGAUGCCAGCUCGCCCUGCUCGGCCCACCAUCUGUUUGUACUGACUCCUCCUCAGAAAGUCCAUGGCUAUGUAGGGCGACCGCAGGAUCACCCUGUUACACAUGGGGGAACUCAUGACUCUCAAUAAAGCAUGCACAGCAGCGCAGACAGACACGGCCUCUCUUUGUAGUGCUGAGGCUCCAGCUGACCUGCGGGCUGGGAGGUUGACGCCGGCGGCCAGUGUGGAGGUGCAGGUGAGUAGGCAGAGCGUC